GAAAAAAAAAGAAAGAAGAGAAAGAGAGUGACCGAGAGCGGCCACCCACAUCAGAGAGAAGACAGAACAAGGGAAGGAAUGGGAGAGGAAACAUGUUGGAAAGGAGCCUACCGCAAAGGGGGAGACGUUUCGCAACCACCCUAAGCUGGAGUCCGUGAAAAUCAGUCGAGUUUUUCGGUGACCUCACCCUCAGCAUGAUCAAACCAGAACUUUCGUUUUUUCUCAACUUUGGGGAUGUUUUGGAGCUUGAUUCACUUCCUAAACAUUCCAAAAUUGUAAGUAUAAGCAAAAGGUAACCGGAAGCCUUCAUAACAUCGGUUAUUACCAAAUUUUAUCAAUAGUAGAUGGAUUUACAAGAUGAGGGGGUUCAUGAACUUGUUUUAAAAACCAGUUCUGGACCCAUCCAGGCGGCUGAAAUCACUGGGAAAGAUCUAGAAUGAGUCUGUUUAAGUUUAUUUUAUUUUAACUCCAUUUUCUUGA